UACGGGGGGGGCAAGCGUUGUUCGGAAUUACUGGGCGUAAAGGGCUCGUAGGUGGCCAACUAAGUCAGACGUGAAAUCCCCAGGCUCAACUUGGGAACUGCGUCUGAUACUGGAUGGCUUGAAUUCGGGAGAGGGAUGCAGAAUUCCAGGUGUAGCGGUGAAAUGCGUAGAUAUCUGGAGGAAUACCGGUGGCGAAGGCGGCAUCCUGGACCGAGAUUGACACUGAUGAGCGAAAGCUAGGGGGGCAAACGGG
rnacentral:rRNA from 1 species